CUCGUCACUAUCCCACCGAGGUUAGUCUUGAUACUUACUAGGCACCGUCGUGGUGUGCUCAUACUACACUUCUAUAUAUUUUUGUGUACAGAUCCAGGUAUUGAUCGAUAGUAGCUGUGUAGAUGGUCGUGAUGGAGACUCACGGUAACCUGUUGCUGCAUUCGCAGGCCUCGGAGUCACCUUCGUUUGUAUUUUUGUUCCAUUGAUUCCUUCUCGUUCUGGAACAAUGUUGUAUUUAUUUUAUAUAAUUACUCUUAGAAAGGCUCAUGACUUGUACCACCGAUUUUGGGGAAUUGUGAUUUAU
rnacentral:lncRNA from 1 species